CCUACGGGAGGCAGCAGUGGGGAAUAUUGGACAAUGGGCGAAAGCCUGAUCCAGCAAUGCCGCGUGAGUGAUGAAGGCCUUAGGGUUGUAAAGCUCUUUUACCCGGGAUGAUAAUGACAGUACCGGGAGAAUAAGCUCCGGCUAACUCCGUGCCAGCAGCCGCGGUAAUACGGAGGGAGCUAGCGUUAAUUCGGAAUUACUGGGCGUAAAGCGCACGUAGGCGGCUUUGUAAGUAAGAGGUGAAAAGCCUGGUGCUCAACACCAGAACUGCCUUUUAGACUGCAUCGCUUGAAUCCAGGAGAGGUGAGUGGAAUUCCGAGUGUAGAGGUGAAAUUCGUAGAUAUUCGGAAGAACACCAGUGGCCGAAGGCGGCUC
rnacentral:rRNA from 1 species